UACGAAGGGGGCUAGCGUUGUUCGGAAUUACUGGGCGUAAAGCGCGCGUAGGCGGGUUUUCAAGUCAGAGGUGAAAUCCCAGGGCUCAACCCUGGAACGGCCUUUGAUACUGGGAGCCUGGAGUCCGGGAGAGGUGAGUGGAAUUCCGAGUGUAGAGGUGAAAUUCGUAGAUAUUCGGAGGAACACCAGAAGCGAAGGCGGCUCACUGGCCCGGUACUGACGCUGAGGCGCGAAAGCGUGGGGAGCAAAC
rnacentral:rRNA from 1 species